rnacentral:ncRNA from 1 species
GAAAGGCUGCCAUAUUUCGCCAUCCGGCAGCUGGGUGCAUACCGAGACACCCCAAUUAGG